AUGGCGGACCGCGGGGGCUACGUGCAGGUGCAGCACGGGCAGUACGGCGGCGGGCACCACGGCGGGCAGCAGCAGCACGGGCGCCAGAUGGGCGAGCAGAUGAAGGGCAUGUUCCAGGAGAAGGCGCCGUCGGCGUCGCAGGCGCUGACGGUGGCGACGCUGUUCCCGCUGGGCGGGCUGCUGCUGGUGCUGUCCGGGCUGGCGCUGGCGGGCACCGUGGUGGGGCUGGCCGUGGCCACGCCCGUGUUCCUGCUCUUCAGCCCCAUGCUGGUCCCGGCCGCGCUCACCAUCGGCCUGGCCGUCACCGGGUUCCUCACCUCCGGCGCGCUGGGGCUGGGCGGCCUCUCCUCGCUCACCGUCCUCGCCAACACGGCGCGCCAGGCGUUCCAGCGCACCCCGGACUACGUGGAGGAGGCGCGCCAGCGCAUGGCCGAUGCCGCCGCGGCCGCGGGGCACAAGACGCAGCAGGCCGGCCACGCCAUCCAGAGCCGCGCGGAGGACGCGCGCGCCGGAGGAGGUGGCCACACCGGCGCCACCGGCGGAGCGGGCGCCGGCACCGGCACCGGCACCAGGGCGUCGUCGUAA
rnacentral:rRNA from 1 species